UACAGGGGGGGGCAAGCGUUGUUCGGAAUUACUGGGCGUAAAGCGUGCGCAGGCGGUUUUGUAAGUCUGUCGUGAAAGCCCCCGGGCUCAACCUGGGAAUUGCGAUGGAGACUGCAAGGCUUGAAUCUGGCAGAGGGGGGUAGAAUUCCACGUGUAGCAGUGAAAUGCAUAGAGAUGUGGAGGAACACCGAUGGCGAAGGCAGCCCCCUGGGUCAAGAUUGACGCUCAUGCACGAAAGCGUGGGGAGCAAAC
rnacentral:rRNA from 1 species